GAGCUGCCAGUCGCCGCAGCACAGUCCGCGCGCACACCACUACGCGGUGUCGAGUGGAGUUGGUACCGGGCCGCGUCCGCCGUCCGUCGCAUUCGCCGUUUUGUUUCAUUCCCUGCGAGUCGUGUAAGUGUGAUGUGCCUGUGUGUGUGUGUGUGUGUGUGCGCGUGUGCGCACACACAAUACAGUGUGUUUGAGUAUUAGCAAUGACGUGAUCCGUGUGUGUGUGUGUUUGUGUAUGUAUGUGUACUAUUCAUGUUCUAUUUAUUAUUUAUUUAUCGGUAUUAUUAAUUUUAAUUUUUUUUUUUUUAUUUAGUUUUUCCAAAUAAAAAAAUAUCGUAAACCAUUUGCGCGUUUCGUUUGCGCCGCGCCUUACGUCAGUUUCACACGAGUGUGGUUUUUUUUUUUUUUUGCGUCAUAGCGCCGUAACUCGUUUUAUUUGUGCGGUUAUUGGCAGUCGUGGUGUACGCGGACGGCAACGGCGGAUGGGCUGCGCACAAAGCACAUGACGAUUCCGGCAACGACCACUGUGUAUACCCGUGAACACACGCAGAGCCCCAUCGGUGUUUCUCUCUCUCUCUCUCUCAUACACACACACACACUCACGGUGACACUCGCUCCGACCGGAAAUGCAGGAUUGCGAGUGUGUGCACACGACAUGUUCCCCGGUGGAGAACACGUGGUUUGCGAUUGUUUUCAACUCUGCCGAACACGAUCGGGUUUCGAUACUACUAUUUGAUGCGAAGCUGGUUUUCACUUUGAUCUGUCAGAUUUACGUUUUACCUUUUCUGAGAUCAUUGUGAAAGCUAAUUUCGUACCUCACGGUAAUACCAGUGUUCGACCGGCUAUUUUUUAAUUGAUUUGCGUAUCCACCGAGGAAAAAAAACGUGUAAUAUUUGUGUUGUAUAGUUUUUUUACAGAAUCUUCUUUGUUUUGCUGUUCGCCAGAUAUGUGAAAACGUCUGUCAACAACAGUUCCAGUUCGGAUAACAGAUAUUGCUUUAAUUUGCUGUUUUCAAAAGUUAAAUACCAAAUGUUUGCAGCAAAGUUGGCUUUUUAAUUUUGUCAACUCUGGUAGAAACCGUCGAUGCAGUUGAUUAAUGGGACUAGCGAUAAGGGCGGACGUUUCAACCGAUACAUUUUGUCAAAAAUAUUCAUCAAACCCUUCUAUACAAAACACGCUAAACAUGACAAUUUAAUAUGUGAUGUGUGUUACUAAUAAAUAUUAAAAUAAAAGCCAAAAACAUUUAUGAUUGUUAAGAUAAUACAUGCAUACUGGUUUUAUUUUUAAAAGCGAUACUGUGCAUUAAAUUAAAAAAAAAUUAUUUUUACUCCCCUAACAUUAUGUUAUAGCAUAAUGGUUUUAAUGUCUUUUACAAAUCUUAUAACUCCAGUCAUAUUAACUGUAUUAGUUUUCUACAUUAAUGAUAAAUUGAAGUAAU